GUCACGUCUGUCUCCGGAGUCUGCACCUUGGGUCCUAUUCCUGCCUGCACACAGCCACACCUAACACACAGAGGACGCCGUUGGUGCUUAUUAGCGGUGUUCACCUGCGGUCCUCUGCUUCACAAACCACCGUGCAGCAGGUCACGAUGUCAAAGGGCCAGAAUUUUCCCAUCAUCCAUCUCUUCACCCCCCCUUGGUAGAUGAAUGCUAUUCAUCAGAUGACACAUGAGUCUGGGAGGACGUAUGUGUGUGGCUGUUUGCGUGUCGAGGAGCCUGUGCCAUCACCAGGGAAGUCUCAAAUGUCCCAGGAAUGGGUGGACCAAAGACCAGCUUUCCAGAGUCAUUAUUUUGUUUUAGGAGUUUUAUUUUUCAUUUUGUUAGACAUGGCACAGUUGAAAGUAAAAGAAGACCACUCUAAUUUGUCAUGUGUUGUCAUAUUUUCAUAUAUUUGAUUACUUUUCAUUGGUUAUAUUAUAUCGGGUAAAAAUCACCCGGCAUUAGUGAUCGUGUUACUAUUUAUAGCGAUAGUGUUCU